UACAGAGGUCUCGAGCGUUAGGCGGAAUCACUGGGCUUAAAGCGUGUGUAGGUGGAUCGUUAAGUACCUUGUGAAAUCCCACGGCUCACCCGUGGAACUGCUGGGUAUACUGGCUGUCUUGAGCCACUUAGGGGCUACCGGAACAAAUGGUGGAGCGGUGAAAUGCGUAGAUAUCAUUUGGAACGCCAAUGGUGAAAACAGGUAGCUGGGAGUGUGCUGACGCUGAGACACGAAAGCCAGGGGAGCGAACGGG
rnacentral:rRNA from 1 species